CGGCGGCGGCGAGGUCACGGACGAUCUCCGCACGAUCGAUGAGAUGGCGUUGCCCGGAGUGGACUGCCACCGCCGAGGUGGCCUCCUCAGCCGGCGACCACGUGAUCCGCCGCUCGGGCUCGUCCGACGUGUUCUGCAAUUCGGAUUUACGCUCCGCAUUUAAGAGAGAGAGAGAGAGAGAAGAGAAGAGCGAGCUACAGAGCUAGAGAGAACUGGUAGAGAGAGAGAGGCCCGAACCCGGUUUUUACGGCCCAGAGAGCCCGGCAAGUGAAGGGCAGCAGGGUACUCGGCUCAAGAAAAGGGGGGGCUGCGGGGGCUCGUGCUGCUGGGGUCAACGAGUCUUUGGGGAGCCCCUGGCGUGGCUUUGCCGCGUCCAGGUGGUCAACGAGGCGCCGACCAUGGUGUCACGAACGAGCGCGGGGAAAGAUAGAUGCCACUGCCACGGGAGAGAUCGGAUGCCAGAAUCAGGCCCGCAGAUCCCUCGGCGGCGCUGAGCAACCCAGAUAUGGUCGGAGCAUGCGAGAUUACCGGC
rnacentral:lncRNA from 1 species